rnacentral:rRNA from 1 species
AAAAAAGGUAAGCUACUAAGAGCGAAUGGUGGAUGCCUUGACUGGUAAAGGCGAUGAAGGACGUACUAGACUGCGAUAAGCUACGGGGAGCUGUCAAGAAGCUUUGAUCCGUAGAUUUCCGAAUGGGGCAACCCAAUGUAUAGAGAUAUACAUUACCUAUAUAGGAGCGAACGAGGGGAAUUGAAACAUCUUAGUACCCUCAGGAAAAGAAAUCAAUAGAGAUUGCGUCAGUAGCGGCGAGCGAAAGCGCAAGAGGGCAAACCCAGUGCUUGCACUGGGGGUUGUAGGACUGCAAUGUGCAAGAGGUGAGUUUAGCAGAACAUUCUGGAAAGUAUAGCCAUAGAGGGUGAUAGUCCCGUAUGCGAAAAACAAACCUUAGCUAGCAGUAUCCUGAGUAGGGCGGGACACGAGAAAUCCUGUCUGAAGCUGGGUCGACCACGAUCCAACCCUAAAUACUAAUACCAGAUCGAUAGUGCACAAGUACCGUGAGGGAAAGGUGAAAAGAACUGAGGUGAUCAGAGUGAAAUAGAACCUGAAACCAUUUGCUUACAAUCAUUCAGAGCCCUAUGUAGCAAUACAGGGUGAUGGACUGCCUUUUGCAUAAUGAGCCUGCGAGUUGUGGUGUCUGGCAAGGUUAAGCAAACGCGAAGCCGUAGCGAAAGCGAGUCUGAAUAGGGCGCUUAGUCAGAUGCUGCAGACCCGAAACGAAGUGAUCUAUCCAUGAGCAAGUUGAAGCUAGUGUAAGAACUAGUGGAGGACUGAACCCAUAGGCGUUGAAAAGCCCCGGGAUGACUUGUGGAUAGGGGUGAAAGGCCAAUCAAACUUCGUGAUAGCUGGUUCUCUCCGAAAUAUAUUUAGGUAUAGCGUUGUGUCGUAAUAUAAGGGGGUAGAGCACUGAAUGGGCUAGGGCAUACACCAAUGUACCAAACCCUAUCAAACUCCGAAUACCUUAUAUGUAAUCACAGCAGUCAGGCGGCGAGUGAUAAAAUCCGUCGUCAA